CCCAGACUCCUACGGGAGGCAGCAGUGGGGAAUAUUGCACAAUGGGGGGAACCCUGAUGCAGCGACGCCGCGUGGGCGAGGAAGUAUUUCGGUAUGUAAAGCCCUAUCGGCAGGGAAGAAGAAAUGACGGUACCUGAAUAAGAAGCACCGGCUAAAUACGUGCCAGCAGCCGCGGGAAUACGUAUGGUGCAAGCGUUAUCCGGAUUUACUGGGCGUAAAGGGAGCGCAGGCGGCGCGCCAAGUCUGAUGUGAAACCCCGGGGCUCAACCCCGGGCAUGCAUUGGAAACUGGCGGGCUGGAGUGCCGGAGAGGUAAGCGGAAUUCCUAGUGUAGCGGUGAAAUGCGUAGAUAUCAGGAGGAACACCGGUGGCGAAGGCGGCCUGCUGGACUGCGACUGACGUUGAGGCCCGAAAGCGUGGGGAGCAAACAGGAUUAGAUACCCCGGUAC
rnacentral:rRNA from 1 species